GACGAACGCUGGCGGCGUGCCUAAUACAUGCAAGUAGAACGCUGAAGAGAGGAGCUUGCUCUUCUUGGAUGAGUUGCGAACGGGUGAGUAACGCGUAGGUAACCUGCCUGGUAGCGGGGGAUAACUAUUGGAAACGAUAGCUAAUACCGCAUAAAAUUGAUUAUUGCAUGAUAAUUAAUUGAAAGAUGCAACUGCAUCACUACCAGAUGGACCUGCGUUGUAUUAGCUAGUUGGUGAGGUAACGGCUCACCAAGGCGACGAUACAUAGCCGACCUGAGAGGGUGAUCGGCCACACUGGGACUGAGACACGGCCCAGACUCCUACGGGAGGCAGCAGUAGGGAAUCUUCGGCAAUGGGGGGAACCCUGACCGAGCAACGCCGCGUGAGUGAAGAAGGUUUUCGGAUCGUAAAGCUCUGUUGUAAGAGAAGAACGGGUGUGAGAGUGGAAAGUUCACACUGUGACGGUAUCUCACCAGAAAGGGACGGCUAACUACGUG
rnacentral:rRNA from 1 species